CCUACGUGAGGCAGCAGUGAGGAAUAUUGGUCAAUGGGAGAGAUCCUGAACCAGCCAAGCCGCGUGAGGGAAGACGGCCCUAUGGGUUGUAAACCUCUUUUGUCGGAGAACAAAACCCGGGACGUGUCCCGGACUGCGUGUAUCCGAAGAAAAAGCCUCGGCUAACUCCGUGCCAGCCGCCGCGGUAAUACGGAGGAUGCGAGCGUUAUCCGGAUUUAUUGGGCGUAAAGGGUGUGCAGGCGGCUGAGUAAGACAGAUGUGAAAUCCCCGGGCUUAACCUGGGAACCGCAUAUGUGACUGCGUGGCUAGAGUGCGGUAGAGGGAGGGGGAAUUCCACGUGUAGCAGUGAAAUGCGUAGAUAUGUGGAAGAACACCGAUGGCGAAGGCAGCCUCCUGGGACGCAACUGACGCUCAUACACGAAAGCGUGGGGAGCAAACAGGAUUAGAUACCCGAGUAGUC
rnacentral:rRNA from 1 species